GAUGAAGAACGUAGCGAAAUGCGAUAAGUAGUGUGAAUUGCAGAAUUCAGUGAAUCAUCGAAUCUUUGAACGCACAUUGCGCCCUUUGGUAUUCCUUAGGGCAUGCCUGUUCGAGCGUCAUUUAAACCUUCAAGCUCAGCUUGGUGAUGGGUGACUGUCCUCCCCUCGCGGGGGGACUCGCCUCAAAAACAUUGGCGGCCGGUACAUUGGCUUCGAGCGCAGCAGAAACGCGGUCUCGAGCCCGGUGGAUCGGCUCCCAUAAGCCUCUUCUUUUAUUUUGACCUCGGAUCAGGUAGGGAUACCCGCUGAACUUAAGCAUAUCAAUAAGCGGAGGA
rnacentral:misc_RNA from 1 species